rnacentral:rRNA from 1 species
GACGAACGCUGGCGGCGUGCUUAACACAUGCAAGUCGAGCGGUAAGGCCCUUUCGGGGGUACACGAGCGGCGAACGGGUGAGUAACACGUGGGUGACCUGCCCUCAGCUCUGGGAUAAGCCUGGGAAACCGGGUCUAAUACUGGAUAUGACUCCAUGACGCAUGUUGUGGGGUGGAAAGCCUUGUGCGGCUGAGGAUGGGCCCGCGGCCUAUCAGCUUGUUGGUGGGGUGANGGCCUACCAAGGCGACGACGGGUAGCCGGCCUGAGAGGGCGACCGGCCACACUGGGACUGAGACACGGCCCAGACUCCUACGGGAGGCAGCAGUGGGGAAUCGUUGCGCAAUGGGCGAAAGCCUGACGCAGCGACGCCGCGUGAGGG